AUUGAACGCUGGCGGCAUGCCUUACACAUGCAAGUCGAACGGCAGCACGGGAGCAAUCCUGGUGGCGAGUGGCGAACGGGUGAGUAAUAUAUCGGAACGUGCCCAGUCGUGGGGGGAUAACGUAGCGAAAGCUACGCUAAUACCGCAUACGAUCUAUGGAUGAAAGCGGGGGGAUCGCAAGACCUCGCGCGAUUGGAGCGGCCGAUAUCAGAUUAGGUUGUUGGUGGGGUAAAAGCUCACCAAGCCUGCGAUCUGUAGCUGGUCUGAGAGGACGACCAGCCACACUGGAACUGAGACACGGUCCAGACUCCUACGGGAGGCAGCAGUGGGGAAUUUUGGACAAUGGGCGCAAGCCUGAUCCAGCAAUGCCGCGUGCAGGAUGAAGGCCUUC
rnacentral:rRNA from 1 species